rnacentral:lncRNA from 1 species
AAAAAAAAAUUAUUUAUUUAUUUAUUUAUUUUUAUCUUAUUCUUGUUGUUCACUCUCAAAUCAUUGAUUAUUACAUCUUUUAGCUCUAGCACCCUAAGCUCUAACUACAAUACGUUUAUAUUUAAUAUUUUUAUAUAUAAUAGUACAUCACAAGCAUUAGCUUUAAGUAUAUUUCCAUUGUUGGUGCUCAUUUGCAUUCUAUGCAAUCUAACUGGUCUUUGUAAUUUAAUGAUUGAAUUUUAUACCUAGACCUUCAACAAAAAAACUUAAGAGAGACU